AUCCUCCAUCCCCCAAUUCAAUCCUAUCCAUCUCCCUCUCCCUUGUCCGCCGCCACCACCGGCAACCUUGAUGCCCCUCUCCCCAACUGCCAGCGCCACCGCACCCACCCUCUCCCCCAUCCCCUGCUCUCACCUUCUCUCCUUAAACUAGGCGGCCACCAGAACGAGCACCAAGGCGCUUCCCGAUCUGCGGCGCUGCUUCCGGAUCCGCCGAGCAGAGCCAGAGGUCGGCUCCUUCUCCGCGUUGUUCUGCGCCAAGGUUUACCUCCUCUUCCUUCUCCGCGUGGUCCAUGGCGCUAAUCCCGGACGGUGAGGCACUCAAUACCAUGGCCGGACGGAGGUUGGGCGAUUUCCCUCCCUGACAUCGCCGCCUAGCCACUCCACCGCGAGCUUCUCGCCCCCAGUGGCGUCCAAGACGUCCUCCUCCUCGAUGCAGCCGUUCCCAACGAGCUCUCUUUGCCGGAUGAGGUGCAGCAGCAAGUCCAGCACCCCCUUGGCCCCUGCAUCCUAUCCUACAUCGCCUGGACGAGCUCAUGCACUGAUGUAUGCGUCCUCCUUACGUCCUAGCGUGAUAUUGGUUUAUGGGAGCGUUUUCAGCAACAAAGACAUGAUGAUCGGUUCCACGGCCAGGAACGCGGGAUGACCACUGGUUGACGUCCGCCGAGCAUUGUGCGUUGCUUGAUCACUAGUAGAAAAGGGGGCUUUUGUCCUGGUUGGUAAGGGCCUUUAGUCCCGGUUUUUAAAUCGAGACUAAAGGGUCGUUACUAAUGCCUCCGGUCGUUACUAAUGUGAAUAUUGCCCUGUGACGAAAGCCCUGUUUUGUACUAGUGGAUGGGUGUGGUGCUGGCUGUAGGGUACCAUAGUGUUCUUUGAGACAUGCUUGUAGAAUUAUUCUUUUUUGGGUCCUUUUUUUGCUCCUGUAUAGGUGUAUUUUUGGGUGUGUUUAUGUAAUUUUUUGUUGACAUGAGCAUAUAUUUUCUGUUAAAUUAUUAUUGGCUUAUAA